GCGGCCGUGGCCCAACUGGCAGAGGCGGCUGGUCGAGAGCCAGUCCACGUCGGGGUUCGACUCCCCGCGGCCGCA
rnacentral:tRNA from 1 species